GAUGAACGCUGGCGGCGUGCCUAAUACAUGCAAGUCGAGCGAACAGACGAGGAGCUUGCUCCUCUUACGUUAGCGGCGGACGGGUGAGGAACACGUGGAUAACCUACCUAUAAGACUGAGAUAACUUCGGGAAACCGGAUCUAAUACCGGAUAAUAUAUUGAACCGCAUGGUUCAAUAGUGAAAGACGGAUUUGCUGUCACUUAUAGAUGGAUCCGCGCCGGAUUAGCUAGUUGGUAAGGUAACGGCUUACCAAGGCGACGAUGCGUAGCCGACCUGAGAGGGUGAUCGGCCACACUGGAACUGAGACACGGUCCAGACUCCUACGGGAGGCAGCAGUAGGGAAUCUUCCGCAAUGGGCGAAAGCCUGACGGAGCAACGCCGCGUGAGUGAUGAAGGUCUUCGGAUCGUAAAACUCUGUUAUUAGGGAAGAACAAAUGUGUAAGUAACUAUGCACGUCUUGACGGUACCUAAUCAGAAAGCCACGGCUAACUACGUG
rnacentral:rRNA from 1 species